ensembl:rRNA 5S_rRNA 5S ribosomal RNA
GUCUAUGGCUAUACUACCCUGAACGCGCCCGAUCCUGUCUGAUUUUGGAAGCUAAGCAGGGUCGGGCCUCGUUAGUAAUUGGGUGGGAGAACAGUAACUUGUUUAACCAUGUUGACU